GCUGGCAUUGCAUCCCAACUCAUACACAACUGAGCAGAAUCGUCUUCCAUUUCCAUUUGAUCACACAACAAUGGCUGCCUCUACAAUGGCUCUUUCUUCCCCAUCCUUCGCCGGAAAGGCGGUUAAGCUGUCUCCCUCCGCCCCUGAGAUCACCGGAAGUGGAAGGGUCUCAAUGAGGAAGACUGUCGCCAAGCCCGUUUCAUCCGGAAGCCCGUGGUACGGCCCUGACCGUGUUAAGUACUUGGGCCCAUUCUCCGGUGAGCCUCCAAGCUACCUCACUGGUGAGUUCCCCGGCGACUACGGUUGGGACACUGCUGGCCUUUCUGCCGACCCAGAAACCUUUGCCAAGAACCGUGAACUGGAGGUGAUCCACUGCAGAUGGGCCAUGCUUGGAGCUCUUGGAUGCGUCUUCCCCGAGCUCUUGGCCCGUAACGGUGUUAAGUUCGGUGAGGCUGUGUGGUUCAAGGCAGGAGCUCAAAUCUUCAGCGAGGGUGGGCUCGACUACUUGGGCAACCCCAGCUUGAUCCACGCCCAGAGCAUCUUGGCCAUCUGGGCUUGCCAAGUUGUUUUGAUGGGAGCUGUUGAGGGCUACCGCAUUGCUGGUACUCGGUGAGGUGAGGUUACUGACCCAUUGUACCCCGGUGGCAGCUUUGACCCAUUGGGCUUGGCUGAUGACCCUGAAGCUUUUGCUGAGCUCAAGGUUAAGGAGAUCAAGAAUGGCAGACUCGCCAUGUUCUCCAUGUUUGGAUUCUUCGUUCAGGCCAUUGUCACCGGAAAGGGCCCAUUGGAGAACCUGGCUGACCACCUUGCGGACCCAGUUAACAACAAUGCUUGGGCUUAUGCUACAAACUUUGUCCCCGGAAAGUGAGCUUUAGGUUAGAUGUGAGCUCAUAUUGAGGUUUGUUGUUAUCUAAUCGGAGUGUGUGUUUUCAGUAUUAAUGCUGUGUCUCAGAUGUAAAUUGGUCGGAUCAAUGAAUUGCGUGUGAUUUUUUGGGCAUCAACAUUCAAA